AGAGCUCAUUGUGUUAUGUGUUCGCAGACUGAAGGAGGCGCGUGAGCCACCACGGCAACCCGUGCUUGUUUAAUCGCUUGAUCACGCAAAACGAGUUCGUUUCUCGAUCUCAAGCUGCGGGAAUUAUUCUAGUGUGUUGGAUACACCAUUCGAAAUGAGCUAUGGUAGGCCACCGCCCGACGUUGAGGGCAUGACUUCGUUGAAAGUGGAUAAUUUAACGUAUCGCACGUCGCCGGAGACGCUGCGGCGCGUCUUUGAAAAGUACGGCCGAGUCGGGGACGUUUAUAUUCCCCGAGACCGAUACACGAAAGAGAGCCGUGGCUUCGCCUUCGUGCGGUUUCACGACAAGAGGGAUGCCGAAGAUGCGAUGGACGCAAUGGAUGGAGCUAUUCUGGACGGACGAGAGCUCCGGGUUCAGAUGGCCCGAUACGGCCGUCCGCCCGACUCGUACUACGGGGGGCGCCGCGGUGGGGGAGCCGGGAGAAGACACGGCGGACACGGCCGUCGCAGCCGAAGUCCCAGACGCCGGAGACGCAGCCGUUCCAGAAGCCGCUCUCGUUCCCGCAGCCGCUCCCGUUACAGCAGAUCGAGGUCACGCUCCUACUCUCGCUCCCGGUCUCACUCCAAGUCACACACACCCCGUAAGAGGAAGUCCAAGUCGCCCUCCAGGUCUAGGUCCCGUUCAAGAUCCAAAUCCAGGUCCCGUUCCAGGAGCCGCACACCUGCUUCGAACAGAGAGUCGAAGUCCAGGUCAAGGUCUAAAAGCCAGCCGAAGUCUGCUGGUGAAGAAGGACACACAUCAUCCUAAAACCUUUCAGAGCUGCUGAAUCCUGUAUGGCAAUGUAAAAGCAGGGGUGUGAGGUGCAGUUUGAGCUGUUAGAGGUGUGUGUGAUCCAGCCACCUGCUCCUGUUGGGGUUGCUUUGGAGCAGAUGGGUGUUUUGGUGGUGCUGAGGUCUUCCUUACCAUUGGACGAUUCCAAACAUGUGACCUCUGUUGGAGCCUGAGGAACAACAGAUUGAAAAUCCUGAAAGCUACACAAUGGCUACAUGAGCCUUAAGGUCAUUAUGACUGAUUGGCAUUGUCGAACUGUUUCAUAGUUAUACAGCCCUUUGUUCUUUCAAUACAUUGUACCCAUUUUCUGUGAGGUUGUUUUAAACGUGUGUGUCCUUUUUAAUUCGUUGAGUAGGACGAGCAUCACAAUUCUGUUGGCCUUAAAGGUAAACUUGUCUCGGUGAUUGUUUUGAGUAUUAGCUGCACAUAAUUUGUGUAAUACAGAAAUCAAUGUAGCUUUGCUUUUUUGUUGUUAAAAUUCUGCUUAAAUCUGCAAAUGUUUAAGAUGAAUAUUCUUUAGGAUGCUUUAUUUUGAAGUGAUUUGAAGAGUAAGAAUAGCCUGGGUUCUGAUCAGCAUGUGUAACAUACCAGUUUUUGUAUUUUAUUUUGGUUUUUGUAUUUUAUUUGUGUGACAUUUGUAUUCUAACCCCAUGUCUUGUGUAUUUUUUGUGCAUUAGGCGCAGUUGUCUAGCUGUUGAGUAUUGCUGGUUAGCUGUUAAGAUCCGGUGUUGCCGUGCUUGGCUGUUUCCAGUUUUCUCCAGAUUGCAGCUGUUGCAGGUGUGGCCGAGAUCAAACGGCAUCUGCAAAUACAUUUUUGGUAGUAUAAUCGCUGUCGUUCAUUAAUUUAUUUUUGUUCAACAAUUUGGAAAGUUUGAAGUAUCUUGACGACAAAUAAAGCGUGCCGAUAAACUU